CAUAAAUGACGCUUAGGCUUGAAAGUGUGGGGAGCAAAUGGGAUUAGAUACCCCAGUAGUCCACACCGUAAACGAUGGGUAUUAGAUAUUAGGGCUUUAGCUUUAGUGUUGUAGCUUACGCGUUAAAUACCCCGCCUGGGUAGUACAUAUGCAAAUAUGAAACUCAAAGGAAUUGACGGGGACCUGAACAAGUGGUGGAGCAUGUUGCUUAAUUCGAUAAUACACGAAAAACCUUACCAAGGUUUGACAUCCCUCGCAAAGCUAUAGAAAUAUAGUAGAGGUUAUCGAGGUGACAGGU
rnacentral:rRNA from 1 species